GUCAGAACUUGCUGAUGGGCUGAAUGUGGGAGCAAUAAAAGAAAGAGAAGACUCAUACAUGGCUAUUGAAUUUCUAACCCAAAAAACACAGCGGAUUGUGGUGCCAUUUCCUGGGUACAAUGGGCCCGGGGCCAGAGGGAGGAAAAGAAUGUAAGAAAUAAAAGGUUUUAUUUUGGCCGCUCGCAUCUGAGAAUGUACACCAAGCUAGGAGAAUGUUGUGCAGUCGCUCAGAAGAGAAGUCUGGACUAUUGAAAUAAAUUUCAGAAGAGUGUUAUGUAGGUUGUUUAAUGAGAUCAAAGGAAAAAUUAGAGACACUGAAGAGAACAAAACAGUACUCAAGGCCAAGCCCUGAAGAAGCCCACAUGUGGAGGGCAUUUGGAAGCUCAGGACAUAAGAGGAUCAGAAAAGCAGCAGGGAGUGAAGCAGGAAGGAAAAAACUGUCCUAGGAGACAAGGCCCUAAACAGAGGUGACACUUGGAUCUGCAGCAGACAUCCUGUGAUGGUGGAAAAAAAGACCAAAAGAGUCACAGUAAUUCCAGCCCUGAUAUCUUAAGCCACUGAACCAGCAGCCACCUACCCCAUCUGUUAAAGUCACCAUCAGGUGGAUUUUCUGUUACUUGAGCAGUGGAAAAAUUGAUAUCACAGAAAGUACGGUGGUGUAUGGAUUAUGUGUCUGUACUCUGGAACUGAGUCAAGCAGACCUAGAGUUGAUUUUGACAUGCCACAAUUGAAGAGCUCUGUAACUUCAGAAGAGAGGCCUGGUCAUAUGACUAAAAGAUAGUGCUCAACAAAUGUUACUUUCUUUCAUAACAGUUCACUUCAGUACUGUGUCAAAAUCUGGUCUCCAAUAAAUGUAACCUUAACUAACUACAGAUAGAAUGAGGAGGGAUUAAUACAAAGACCAACAUCACUGAUUGUAGCUACUGGAAAGGAUGAAAAUCAAGGUUAGACGAAUGAGAAAUUCAAAUUUUUUCCAUGGUCAGAUUUUUACUUAUUUUAAUAGUUUAUAAAUGUUGGUAAGUAUCCUUAAAUCAUUUCUGCAAGUAGAUGGGGGAUCAAUCAUAAAUAAAAUAAGCCUGGUAAGGCCUCAAACCACGAAAUAAUUAAAUAUAAGCCAACGUGUUAGAUUCUUAAAAUUUAAUCUGAAAUGAUAAAAACUCUACAUUUUCAUUUGAAGCAUUAUAUUAAUAUUGCUACAUUGCUAAAAUGUAUUAGCACCAUCUUAGCUAUUUUAAGCACUUAAAAAGCUGGUUAAAAGCUAGGUCACAAUUAUUAUCUCAUUUGCCCUUAUAAGAGUUCAAUUAAAGCACAGGCAAUUGAAAGAA